CAUAGUCAGUCACAGAGUCCACGUAUAGUCGAUUGUUCAUCGCUCGUCGAGUUAGUUCGUCUUUAUAUUCAUUGCUAAUGUUGUAUUGAAGUUUGCUAAAGGCACGUCGAAAUCUAAUGUUAUAAUUUUGCACGUUUUCGGUUAAUCCUUGCCUUAUUUCUCUUAAUUGAUCUUGGUGUUCUCUUACUGAUGCUUUAAUAGCCUCCGGACAAACAAUAAAGACUAAGUAAAGUGUCAAAGAAUAAUUUAUUCAACCGUCUUCUAUUCACGUCCGGUAAAGCACUACGCGCGAUUCUAACUAGCAUCGUAAACUGGUGCCCCUAUAGAAACUAUGAGUGUUUCAAUACUCAAUCUUAUCCAGUAUCACAUCUGUAAGGUGCUUCACGGUAAGAUCUCUUCAACUCUUGAUCUAAUCAAGGUGAUCAAAAUAAAAUUCUAGUCAUAAAGCAGGAUGUGCCGAAGACGGCAAUAAACACGCAGUUCGGAUUAUUUAAAUUCCUAUGCAUGAUCGUUGGUCUUAAAGAUGCGUUUAAAUGGCCUUGUUCGACCGUCCUCGUGAUCGCAAGGAAGCGCGCUCAGUCAGUUCAUAUGAGAUUUUAUAUAAUCUGUAAUAAUUUGUACGUAUGUAACUGGGUUGGAAUUGUUCAUAAGGAAAGCCGUUGUUGUUGAGGGAAUGUUAGGUGUCGACCACGUGUUAAUUAUCCAAGUGCAUCCGAUGUGUUCAUAUGGCUGUACAUGGUGGUGAAAUACAGAACAUAAAAAUUGAAUCUGUGUGAAUCAAUUAAAUAUCAAACUCCAAAACCUGUUUAAUAACAAUUGUUAAAACAAAAUUUCUUUUAUAAAAUACUAUUGUAAAGCACGA